rnacentral:rRNA from 1 species
UACAGAGGUCUCAAGCGUUGUUCGGAUUCAUUGGGCGUAAAGGGUGCGUAGGUGGCGCUGUAAGUCGGGUGUGAAAUUUCGGAGCUUAACUCCGAAACUGCAUUCGAUACUGCGGUGCUUGAGGACUGGAGAGGAGACUGGAAUUUACGGUGUAGCAGUGAAAUGCGUAGAGAUCGUAAGGAAGACCAGUGGCGAAGGCG